ensembl:lncRNA
GUACUCUUGAAAUGCAUUGGUGACAAUGUGGGGCAGGAAGAUACGUCAAAAUGGGGACUACAAGCUUUCUGAUGCUGUCUGAUUAUAGUCUACCUUUGGAGUAGUGAGCCAAUGGGACUCUUUGUACAUUCCAAAAAUGUUUUGAAUUAGAAGUCACAAGGAGGGUUGUAUUCAUUUCAUCACUGAUCGAAUGAUUGACAGCAACAAUAAGAGGAAGGAUUUAAUUGGCUCAAAGUUCAAGGGAUAUCAGUCCAUUAUGAAGGUGAAACAGGAAUCUAUGGCUAUGUGUGUAGUGGAAGGAACUUUGGCCUGUUCAUGACAACCCAGAAGCAAAGAGCAGAGGGCCAAGAGCAAGGCUGAAGAUGCUCUGCUCAAGUUUUUGCAGUCCAAGGAGAAUGUGACUGACACAAUUCUACAGGGAUCCACAAAGGAACAAGCUGGACUACUAGAGGAGGGAUUCCAGCAGGAAAUAAAAAAAAACUUGAGGAUGAAAAGAAGUAUCUCCGGAAAGGAAACUGAACCACAGAUGGCAUUGUAAGCUAAGGGUCUAAGAAUAACGCCAUUCUGCCACUCAAACAGAGCUGAACAGGGUCACAUCAAUUGAUAAUGAUUGGGUCCUCCAUCAGAAAACUAAAAAUCUGGAAAGAUGUGCAGUGUGAUCAUUGAAAUCCUGUUUAUCUUCUUAUAAGAUUGUGCUCCAAGAAUAUCAUUGACAUCUCUACCACAAGAGAGGCGUCAACAGGGCUACUCAGAAGAAAGUCCCUUUUCCAGAUAAUCACCAGGAGACAAAUAGACACUGAUCACAGUCUGUUUUAAAAAAUAAUUUAUUUAUUUUUAUUGUUUUAUGUGUGUCAGUGUUUUGCCUGCAUGUAUGUCCAUGUGGGGGUGACAGACCUUGGAGUUAUAGACAGUCAUGAGCUGCCAUAUGGGUGCUGGGAUUUGAACCCAGGUUCUCUGGAAGAGCAGUGCUCUUUAACCUCUGAGAUAUUUCUUCAGCCCCAUACUGAGCACAUUCUUAAAUGGUGGCACACAAUUAGGAACCAAGUUGUCCAGGGAUGUGAUGGCUCUGAAAGACAGGGAAAGCCAGCCUCAUUUGUUUUGGAGACAAUAUAAAGUUCUGGAUUAUAUCAAAAGUGCUCAACCUUUCAGCAAUGGCAUGAUUUGUGGACACUGGCAAUGAGCAACCCUAUCAAUACACUCCAUCAUAAAUCAAGACAGCUGCAUGGAGAUCUAGAGUACCCAUAUACAAUAUCCACAGGAAGAUGGAAGAAGCCAUUAGCAUGGCAAGGAACUGCUCCACUGUUGAAGAAGGAAAUAUUCCAGUUCAUAUGGAUGGAAACUGUAACAGGACAUUUCCAAACUCUAAGGGUUGACACGGACUACAUAGUAAUACGAUGACAACUAAGCACAAUGUAUAGCUUAUGUACUUAUGUAUAAACUAUACAUAAGUAUGUGUUAUGUAUACUUCAUAUAUAAAAAUACAUAACUUUAAAAGGGCUUUAAAUGGUGCUGGGUAACCUAUAGAUAUCAAAGGAAUUUUAAUUAUUUAUCUUUAAUUAUAAACUUACACUACUCUUUGUCCUAUUAUUAGCAACUAUACUUGAAAUCCUGUUGAUUUUCCCCAAGCAUAAUAAAGAUUCUUCUCUGUAUUUUGACCAGCUCUCAUUUCAUGGAGAUUAGAUAAACUAUAUUCCAACUGCCUAAAAUGUAAAGUAGGUGGUGAACAUCUUUUAAAGGGACUGGGGACUUUUUGAGGGGGUGUGGCUCAGUGAAGUGCUUACAGUGUAAACAUGAGGACAUAAUUCAGAUCGCAGAACCCAUGUAACAAACCAGACAUAGGGGUACAUACCUGUAAGCCUAGCAUGGAAGUUGGGGCAGGGGUAAACAGGAUAAUCAUUCGUGCUUACAAGCCACCCAGUCUAGCCAAAACCUGGUCUC